UGAGCCCUCUAACAAGGGUGAAGACGUUGUGUCAAAGGACUGAGAAUAGGAGUCUUUCAAACUCCUGAUACAGUGAGUAACCUUAUCAUCAUUUUAAUUAUCUAAAGUGGUCUUUUUAUUCGAUUUUGUGAAUUUUAUGGAAAAUGAGUUAAAUGGUUAAUUUUUAGGUUUUAUAAACAAAAUGUGUUUAAAUGAAAUGAUUUUAUAAAUUGUCUUGAAAUUGAAUAAUGGCUUUGAAAAUAGAGUAAUUGGAGACCAUUUGAUGUAUUAUGAAUUUAUGGUUCUAAUUGAAUGGCUUAUGAUAAUAUUGGCAUGAAUGGUUGAAUUGGUAAAUGUGCUGAAAAUGUAUGAACUGUUGAUUUGCCUUGAGAGGUUGUAAAAUAAAAUAAUUGCCAUGUCAUGCUAUUGCAAAUUUUAUUGUAUAGUGGGUUUAGCUUGCUACAGUAGGUGGGUUCUGUGGACCAACCUUUUUGAGGGGCACGGAAUCGUGUUAUAUUCUUACCUCGAUUGGGGAGGCGCGUAGGGUAACUCUCGAGGUACAACUUUAGAGUUCACUUCACGCCAAACCACCACGUGAGAGUGAACUCAGCCAACGCCAAGGAACAGCUAUAUUUUCAAAAUAAAAAACAUGAUUUAUGCAUACAUGACUUUUUAAUAGCCUUGGCGGACUCGGUUGGGAUAACCCCAGGCCAACAUAUCCCUAAUAACUAAGUAUGAGAAUAAUUUUGACACGAGCCAAGCUUUUCAGGAAAUCAUAAGCCUCGUUGUUUAUUUUGGUGAAAUGAAUCUAUUUUAUCUUAUUAAAAUGAGUUCGAAAUGCUGUGAACCAUUUUUAUUCUAAUCUAUUUUAUCUGUCUCCAUUUACUCGGCUUUAGAUAUUUUAGAUGAUAUUUGUUUACUCACUGGGAUUAUAUAAUCUCACCACCCUCCUUUCCACCCUUUUCAAGCUCAGGAUAGUCGGUAGAUAGCUUAUUUCAUUAAGGGCUACAAUGGGACUUGCAUCCUCAAAAAUUGUAGGUUUACCGCUUUUGAUACUUUUGGUCGUUCGUGAGCCCACAUGUCACUGUAAAUUAAAUCUUAUGCUUUGGUUAUCUGUAUUAUAGUAUGUAUGAAUUUAUUUAACUUUUACGCUACAAAAAUUAUUUAUCGG
rnacentral:lncRNA from 1 species